rnacentral:rRNA from 1 species
AGAACGAACGCUGGCGGCAUGCCUAAUACAUGCAUGUCGAACGAACACUUCGGUGUUAGUGGCGCACGGGUGCGUAACGCGUGGGAAUCUGCCCUUGGGUUCGGAAUAACAGUUGGAAACGACUGCUAAUACCGGAUGAUGACGAAAGUCCAAAGAUUUAUCGCCCAGGGAUGAGCCCGCGUAGGAUUAGCUAGUUGGUGAGGUAAAGGCUCACCAAGGCGACGAUCCUUAGCUGGUCUGAGAGGAUGAUCAGCCACACUGGGACUGAGACACGGCCCAGACUCCGUACGGGGGGCAGCAGUAGGGAAUAUUGGACAAGUGGGCG